UACGGGGGGGGGCAAGCGUUGUUCGGAAUUACUGGGCGUAAAGGGCUCGUAGGCGGCCAACUAAGUCAGACGUGAAAUCCCCAGGCUCAACCUGGGAACUGCGUCUGAUACUGGAUGGCUUGAAUCCGGGAGAGGGAUGCAGAAUUCCAGGUGUAGCGGUGAAAUGCGUAGAUAUCUGGAGGAAUACCGGUGGCGAAGGCGGCAUCCUGGACCGGCAUUGACGCUGAGGCGCGAAAGCUAGGGGAGCAAACGGG
rnacentral:rRNA from 1 species